rnacentral:rRNA from 1 species
AGUGAACGCUGGCGGUAGGCCUAACACAUGCAAGUCGAACGGCAGCACAGUAAGAGCUUGCUCUUACGGGUGGCGAGUGGCGGACGGGUGAGGAAUACAUCGGAAUCUACUUUUUCGUGGGGGAUAACGUAGGGAAACUUACGCUAAUACCGCAUACGACCUACGGGUGAAAGCAGGGGAUCUUCGGACCUUGCGCGAUUGAAUGAGCCGAUGUCGGAUUAGCUAGUUGGCGGGGUAAAGGCCCACCAAGGCGACGAUCGGUAGCUGGUCUGAGAGGAUGAUCAGCCACACUGGAGCUGAGACACGGUCCAGACUCCUACGGGAGGCAGCAGUGGGGAAUAUUGGACAAUGGGCGGAAGCCUGAUCCAGCCAUACCGCGUGGGUGAAGAAGGCCUGCGGGUUGUAAAGCCCUUUUGUUGGGAAAGAAAAGCAGCAGGUUAAUACCCCGCUGUUCUGACGGUACCCAAAGAAUAAGCACCGGCUAACUUCGU